GGGAGCCGGAGGGAAACCGAGUCUUAAUUGGGCGUUAAGUUGCAGGGUAUAGACCCGAAACCCGGUGAUCUAGCCAUGGGCAGGUUGAAGGUUGGGUAACACUAACUGGAGGACCGAACCGACUAAUGUUGAAAAAUUAGCGGAUGACCUGUGGCUGGGGGUGAAAGGCCAAUCAAACCGGGAGAUAGCUGGUUCUCCCCGAAAGCUAUUUAGGUAGCGCCUCGUGAAUUCAUCUCCGGGGGUAGAGCACUGUUUCGGCUAGGGGGCCAUCCCGGCUUACCAACCCGAUGCAAACUGCGAAUACCGGAGAAUGUUAUCACGGGAGACACACGGCGGGUGCUAACGUCCGUCGUGAAGAGGGAAACAACCCAGACCGCCAGCUAAGGUCCCAAAGUCAUGGUUAAGUGGGAAACGAUGUGGGAAGGCCCAGACAGCCAGGAUGUUGGCUUAGAAGCAGCCAUCAUUUAAAGAAAGCGUAAUAGCUCACUGGUCGAGUCGGCCUGCGCGGAAGAUGUAACGGGGCUAAACCAUGCACCGAAGCUGCGGCAGCGACACUCAGGUGUUGUUGGGUAGGGGAGCGUUCUGUAAGCCUGUGAAGGUGGCCUGUGAGGGUUGCUGGAGGUAUCAGAAGUGCGAAUGCUGACAUAAGUAACGAUAAAGCGGGUGAAAAGCCCGCUCGCCGGAAGACCAAGGGUUCCUGUCCAACGUUAAUCGGGGCAGGGUGAGUCGACCCCUAAGGCGAGGCCGAAAGGCGUAGUCGAUGGGAAACGGGUUAAUAUUCCCGUACUUGGUGUUACUGCGAAGGGGGGACGGAGAAGGCUAUGUUGGCCGGGCGACGGUUGUCCCGGUUUAAGCGUGUAGGUGUGUGUUCCAGGUAAAUCCGGUU
rnacentral:rRNA from 1 species